rnacentral:rRNA from 1 species
AACGAACGCUGGCGGCAUGCCUAACACAUGCAAGUCGAACGAGACCUUCGGGUCUAGUGGCGCACGGGUGCGUAACGCGUGGGAACCUGCCCUUAGGUUCGGAAUAACUCCCCGAAAGGGGUGCUAAUACCGGGUAAUGUCUUCGGACCAAAGAUUUAUCGCCUUUGUGUGGGCCCGCGUUGGAUUAGCUAGUUGGUAGGGUAAAAGCCUACCAAGGCGACGAUCCAUAGCUGGUCUGAGAGGAUGAUCAGCCACACUGGGACUGAGACACGGCCCAGACUCCUACGGGAGGCAGCAGUGGGGAAUAUUGGACAAUGGGCGAAAGCCUGAUCCAGCAAUGCCGCGUGAGUGAUGAAGGCCUUAGGGUUGUAAAGCUCUUUUACCCGGGAUGAUAAUGACAGUACCGGGAGAAUAAGCUCCGGCUAACUCCGUG